CAAAGAAAGACGUUACAUUGCCUGUCGGUUGUAGAUCUUUACGCAUUAUAUUUAUGUUGUCCUAUGUCAUUGCAGGUUCUUAUUAUCAUGUCAGAAAAUAACAACUUCUUCAUUGUAACAUUUGCCUUUUUUUUAGAAUUCUGACCUCAGGCUAAAUUCCUCUCUUGAGAAGAAUUCUCAAGAACUCGAGGUUGGACGGGCCUGCUGGGAGAUUUGUUGGGCGUGGCUGUGGCCGGGCUGGACACUGCCCAGUCUGCUGUCCGCUACAGUCUGUUUCACACAGGGUUUUCUGUGGAAGAUAUGACCUCAUGGCCAACAUGAUUCACUCGAG
rnacentral:lncRNA from 1 species